GUCACAGAUAGCUCAGCUGGUAAAGCAUGAGACUCUGAAUCUCAGGGUUGUGGGUUUAAACCCCACGUUGGACA